rnacentral:rRNA from 1 species
CUUUGGAAACUGUAUGGCUAGAGUGCUGGAGAGGCAAGCGGAAUUCCUGGUGUAGCGGUGAAAUGCGUAGAUAUUAGGAAGAACACCAGUGGCGAAGGCGGCUUGCUGGACAGUAACUGACGUUGAGGCUCGAAAGCGUGGGGAGCAAACAGGAUUAGACACCCUGGUAGUCCACGCUGUAAACGAUGAAUGCUAGGUGUUGGGGAGCAAAGCUUCUCGGUGCCGCCGCAAACGCAGUAAGCAUUCCACCUGGGGAGUACGUUCGCAAGAAUGAAACUCAAAGGAAUUGACGGGGGCCCGCACAAGCGGUGGAGCAUGUGGUUUAAUUCGAAGCAACGCGAAGAACCUUACCAAGUCUUGACAUCCCGGUGACGCAUGCAGAAAUGUAUGUUCUUUUCGGAGCACUGGAGACAGGUGGUGCAUGGUUGUCGUCAGCUCGUGUCGUGAGAUGUUGGGUUAAGUCCCGCAACGAGCGCAACCCUUAUCCUUAGUAGCCAGCAGGUAAAGCUGGGCACUCUAGGGAGACUGCCAGGGAUAACCUGGAGGAAGGUGGGGAUGACGUCAAAUCAUCAUGCCCCUUAUGAUUUGGGCUACACACGUGCUACAAUGGCGUAAACAAAGGGAAGCGAAGUGGCGACAUGGAGCGAACCCCAAAAAUAACGUCUCAGUUCGGAUUGCAGGCUGCAACCCGCCUGCAUGAAGCCGGAAUCGCUAGUAAUCGCAGAUCAGAAUGCUGCGGUGAAUACGUUCCCGGGUCUUGCACACACCGCCCGUCA